rnacentral:rRNA from 1 species
AUGAGCAUCCACACACAUGCUCCCUGAACACCCUUCUCUCUUCUGACUUUGGAAGUUAAGCAGAGUCAGACCCAGGUAGUACUUGGAUGGGUGACCAACCUGGAAUAUGAGAGAUGACUAGUU